rnacentral:rRNA from 1 species
UUUGAAGGGUCGUUCGAGACCAGGACGUUGAUAGGCUGGGUGUGGAAGUGCAGUAAUGCAUUAAGCUAACCAGUACUAAUUGCCCGUACGGCUUGUCCCU